rnacentral:snRNA from 1 species
GCCGGCCGGGGGACGGAC